GGUUCCAUAGUGUUGUGGUUAGCACUCUGGACUUUGAAUCCAGCGACCUGGGGUCGACUCCCGGUGGGACCU
rnacentral:tRNA from 1 species